rnacentral:rRNA from 1 species
UGCAGUCGAACGGUAACAUUUCUAGCUUGCUAGAAGAUGACGAGUGGCGGACGGGUGAGUAAUGCUUGGGAACUUGCCUUUGCGAGGGGGAUAACAGUUGGAAACGACUGCUAAUACCGCAUAAUGUCUCCGGACCAAACAGGGCUUAGGCUCUGGCGCAAAGAGAGGCCCAAGUGAGAUUAGCUAGUUGGUGAGGUAAAGGCUCACCAAGGCAACGAUCUCUAGCUGUUCUGAGAGGAAGAUCAGCCACACUGGAACUGAGGCACGGUCCAGACUCCUACGGGAGGCAGCAGUGGGGAAUAUUGCACAAUGGGGGAAACCCUGAUGCAGCCAUGCCGCGUGUGUGAAGAAGGCCUUCGGGUUGUAAAGCACUUUCAGUUGUGAGGAAAAGUUAGUAGUUAAUACCUGCUAGCCGUGACGUUAACAACAGAAGAAGCACCGGCUAACUCCGUGCCAGCAGCCGCGGUAAUACGGAGGGUGCGAGCGUUAAUCGGAAUUACUGGGCGUAAAGCGCACGCAGGCGGUUUGUUAAGCUAGAUGUGAAAGCCCCGGGCUCAACCUGGGAAUAGCAUUUAGAACUGGCAGACUAGAGUCUUGGAGAGGGGAGUGGAAUUUCUGGUGUA